rnacentral:lncRNA from 1 species
CAAAGACUUGUCUGUUUUUAUUCUCUAUGGGGACUGGCAGAAAGCAGUAGAACUAACGAGAGUAACGUAUCUUAUUCUGAAUAAAUAAAAUAAUCUACGUUAUUAUUUAUAUAAUAUAUUUUACAAAACCCAUAGAAAUAAAGUCAUUUUUAGCAUUGAGAUGCUGUUUAGAUUCCUCGGUUAUGUUUAUCACGUAACAAUUAUAAUAGUAUAAGUGAUUUCAGACAGGAUAACGAGUAGAAAAGACAAGACGGGACUUUACAACAGUUUCUGUUCAAACCACACAUUUCCUCUUCUAAACAGAAGAGCCUGACACGUUGAUUUGUGCUCAAAAACAAACGAGUGUUAUUCCUGAGGAGAAGAGGAAGGAUUACUCAGAGGCUGACCUGCAAACCUUCAACAUCAUGUGACUGAGAGAAAGCAGAACAUUCCUGACAAUAACAGAACCUUCUCUAAAUAUGACAGCCUGCAUCAGGUUGAUUUGUGCUUUUUCUGCAAGAAAGAUUUAAAAAAUGUAACAGGAUUAUUAUUACCACUGAUUAGAAGAUGCCAGGUUCUUCAGUGGUUGGAUCCGGGUGGUUCUUCAGAAUAUUCAGAUUUUUUCAGCCGAAUGCAGAAGAUAAUGAAAAAAUCCCUUUCUGCAACUCUGAAAACCAUCAGAUAGAGGAUUGUGCUAUUUUUGAGAAGUUGUAUCUUGUGGUCAUUGGCUGUCACUAUGCUGGAAAAAAUGAAGUGGGCAACGCUAUCCUUCAAGAGAAAGUUUUCACAAAAUGGGGAAUAUUUUUAAAUAGCCAAGUACAGAAUGAAAGAGAAAUACAUAAUAAAAAGAUUACACUGAUCCGUGUCCCUGGAUGGAAUGGAGAUCUGCAUGCCUCAGUCAACAAGCAACAAAAAAUAAGGG